AUGGCCCCCAAGCGCGCCGCGAAGAAGGCGGCACCCCCGCCUCCGCCUCCACCUCCGGCUGCCUCCUCCGAGGAGACCGACUCCCGCUCGCGCUCCGAGGAGUCGGACGAAGACGCCGAGUCCCCUCCCCCUGCCCCCACCCCGGCCCCCAAGAGCACGCCGGGAGGUGACUCCGAUUCUUCCGACGAGGAGGAGGAAGAGGAGGAGGAGGAGGAGGUGCCCACCAAGGCGGCCCCUCUCUCCGCCCUGAAGAAACAACCCCCGCCCCCACCGCCGCGGCAGAGCGAGGAAUCGGACGCCUCCGACGAGGAAGAAGAGGAGGGUGAGUCCGAGGAGGAGGCGCCGCCGCCGCCGCCGAAGCUUGCUCCAAAGCAGGCGCCAGAGGGCCGGAAGCCCCAGGCAGCGGCCGAGACCAAGAAGCCGGCCGCUUUCAGCCGCAUCUGGUCCACCGACGACGAGGUGCGUAUCCUCGAGGCCCUCGCGGCUCACCAAAAGCAGCACGGCACGCUGCCGCAGCCCGACGCCCUCGUCGACGCCCUUGCAGGAAAGCUCGACAACCGUGCCUACGGCAGCAAGGAGCUCCAGGGGAAGGUCGCAGCCCUGAGGCGUCGGUACCUCCUUCUCAGCAAGAAGGGCGAGCUCCCGAGCAAGGAGCAUGACCGCCGGGUGCUGGAACUUUCCAAGAUGGUCUGGGAAGGUGGCGACAUGGCCAGCGCCGCAACUGCCUCUGCGAAGGAGCCAAAGGGGUUCGAGGAGAUGUGUGAGAUGUAUCCGUACCUGGCGGAGCAGGUGAGGCAGCUGGAUGCGGCGAACCCGGGCAUGUUCAAGAGGCAGUUCGGGAUGAUGGAUGAGGAGAAGGCGCGCGCCAUGGACGAGAAGAUCAAGAAGCAGAGGGUGGCGCAGAUGAAGGUGGAGCUGCGCCGCCACGACCUGGUAAGGGAGGUGACCAAGGCCAUCAUCGAUCUGGUCGACUGA
rnacentral:rRNA from 1 species